rnacentral:tRNA from 1 species
GGUGUAUUAUUUCAAUGGCAGAAUAUCCGUUUCACAUGCGGAUGACACAGGUUCGAUUCCUGUAUACACCAC